UACGGGAUAUUGCGCAAUGGGCGAAAGCCUGACGCAGCAACGCCGCGUGAAGGAUGAAGGCCUUCGGGUCGUAAACUUCUGUCAGGCGGGACGAAGGAGCGGCGGUGAAUAGCCGCCGUCUCUUGACGGUACCGCCGGAGGAAGCCCCGGCUAACUCCGUGCCAGCAGCCGCGGUAAUACGGAGGGGGCAAGCGUUAUUCGGAAUCAUUGGGCGUAAAGGGCGUGUAGGCGGCUUGAUAAGCCAAAGGUGAAAUCCCUCAGCUCAACUGAGGAACUGCCUUUGGAACUGUCUCGCUAGAGGCCAGGAGAGGGUAGCGGAAUUCCCAGUGUAGCGGUGAAAUGCGUAGAUAUUGGGAGGAACACCAGUGGCGAAGGCGGCUACCUGGACUGGUACUGACGCUGAGGCGCGAAAGCGUGGGGAGCAAACAGG
rnacentral:rRNA from 1 species